rnacentral:rRNA from 1 species
AGUGAACGCUGGCGGUAGGCCUAACACAUGCAAGUCGAACGGCAGCACAGUAAGAGCUUGCUCUUACGGGUGGCGAGUGGCGGACGAGUGAGGAAUACAUCGGAAUCUACUUUUUCGUGGGGGAUAACGUAGGGAAACUUACGCUAAUACCGCAUACGACCUACGGGUGAAAGCAGGGGAUCUUCGGACCUUGCGCGAUUGAAUGAGCCGAUGUCGGAUUAGCUAGUUGGCGGGGUAAAGGCCCACCAAGGCGACGAUCCGUAGCUGGUCUGAGAGGAUGAAUAGCCCAACUGGAAAUGAGAAACGGGCCCGAACCCCUAGGGGGGCAGCAGUGGGGAAUAUUUGGCAAAGGGGGGCAGCCCGAUCCCGGCAUACCGCGGGGGGGAAGAAAGCCUUUGGGGUUUAAAGGCCUUUUUUUGGGAAAGAAAAAGAGGAGGUUUAAACCCCCGUUUUCUGACGGUAACCAAAGAAAAAGCACCGGCUAAAUUUGUG